rnacentral:rRNA from 1 species
AGGACGAACGCUGGCGGCGUGCUUAACACAUGCAAGUGGAGCGACGAACCAGGGCUUGCCCUGGGGCAGAGCCGCGAACGGGUGAGUAACACGUGGGUUACCUGCCUCGAUGACCGGGACAACCCGAGGAAACUCGGGCUAAUACCGGAUGUGCCCGCAAGGGGAAAGGAAGCUUCGGCCUCCGCAUCGAGAUGGGCCCGCGGCCCAUUAGCUUGUUGGUGAGGUAACGGCUCACCAAGGCUUCGAUGGGUAGCUGGUCUGAGAGGACGAUCAGCCACACUGGGACUGAGACACGGCCCAGACUCCUACGGGAGGCAGCAGUGGGGAAUCUUGCGCAAUGCGCGAAAGCGUGACGCAGCAACGCCGCGUGGGGGAAGAAGGCUUUCGGGUUGUAAACCCCUUUCAGUUGGGACGAAGCUUCGUCGGUGAAUAGCCGGCCGGAGUGACGGUACCUUCACAAGAAGCACCGGCUAACUACGUGCCAGCAGCCGC